UCUGUCGGUCGGUCAGUCGGUCGGUCUGUCUGUCGGUCGGUCCGUCCACCAGGUGGUUGUCAUACGAUAACUCAAGAAUGCUUGGGCCUAGGAUCAUGAAACUUCAUAGGUACAUUGACCAUGACUCGCAGAUGACCCCUAUUGAUUUUGAGGUCACUAGGUCAAAGGUCAAGGUCACGGUGAC